rnacentral:rRNA from 1 species
AUGGCGCACUGCGGCGGCGGUCAGGCGGCGUCCGUGGAGAGCCAUUUCCAGGGCCUGCUCGACGACGACGACAAGUACCGCGCAUUGUGCGGCGCCUUCGGGUACCUGCAGCAGCAGGAGUGGCCGGACCUCAGCGGCGCGUGCUACUCGGCGUUCGGCGCGCCGCCGCCGCCGGGUGCAGCGACGCAAGCGACCAGCAACGGCGCCGGCAACUCCUUCACCUGCAGCGGUAGCGCCAGCAGCGGCGGCGGGUCCGCGAAGAGAAAACCUGACGCGUAUGUGGACGCAAAGCUUUGCCAGGACGACUGCAAGAGGCCGAGAGGGAAGCAGCAGCUGUGCGAUCCUGGCGAGGCUGGAGGGGCGGCGAAAGGGAGGCCGGAGAAGCCCAAGGCGUGCGCCAGGAAGAAGCCGGAGCCGGCGGCCGCCGGCCAGAAGACCGACUACAUCCACGUCCGGGCCCGGCGCGGGCAGGCCACGGACAGCCACAGCCUCGCCGAACGGGUGAGGCGGGAGCGGAUCAGCGAGCGGAUGAGGUACCUGCAGGAGCUGGUGCCCGGCUGCGACAAGGUCACCGGCAAGGCCGGCAUGCUCGACGAGAUCAUCAACUACGUCCAGUCCCUGCAGAAGCAGGUCGAGUUCCUGUCCAUGAAGAUCGCCGCCUCCAACCCGGUGGUGAACUUCAACAUCGUCGACGACCUCUUCGGCGGCAGGCGGAUGAACCAGGCGUGCGGCCCCGCGGCGGCCCUGCCCGCCAUGACGCUGCCGAUGCACCAGGGGCAGCUGGACCCGUCCUGCCUUCAGAUGAGCAGCGCUACCAUGCAGCAGAUGCAACAGCCGGCUGCUGGGUUCGGGCUGGACAUGCUCGUCAGCAGCUCAUACCCGGCGGCGCAGAGCGCGCCCCCGUCGGCGGCUGCCACGCCGGUGUCGAUGUCGGCGUCGGCCACCGCGUCCGUCGAUUCAUGCCUCGACGUGAACGGAGCUGCUGCUUGGGACAUUGCGUCUCAGCAUUUGUUCAGUGGGUUCGACGCACAGUUUCAGUCAGUUCAAAGUGACUGUUUGCUAGACAACCUCAAAAUGGAAUUGUAA